ACACAUGACGUGACGUCAUCACUGGUGACGUCACUGAUGACGUCUUCGGUGACGUCAUCGUGAUGACGUCUUCACAGUGACGACAU
rnacentral:pre_miRNA from 1 species